GCCAUCUUAGCCCAAUCGGUAGAGCGACGCUUUUGUAAGGCGAAGGUUGUGGGUUCGAGUCCUACAGAUGGUUCCA
rnacentral:tRNA from 1 species